rnacentral:rRNA from 1 species
GACGAACGCUGGCGGCGUGCUUAACACAUGCAAGUCGAGCGAAAGGAUUCCCUUCGGGGAUGAAUUUAGCGGCGGACGGGUGAGUAACACGUGGGCAACCUGCCUUAUAGAGGGGGAUAGCCUUCCAAAAGGAAGAUUAAUACCGCAUAACAUCAUGCUAACGCAUGUUAGUGUGAUCAAAGGAGCAAUCCGCUAUGAGAUGGACCCGCGGCGCAUUAGCUAGUUGGUGAGGUAACGGCUCACCAAGGCGACGAUGCGUAGCCGACCUGAGAGGGUGAUCGGCCACAUUGGAACUGAGACACGGUCCAGACUCCUACGGGAGGCAGCAGUGGGGAAUAUUGCACAAUGGGCGAAAGCCUGAUGCAGCAACGCCGCGUGAGUGGAGAAGGCCUUCGGGUUGUAAAGCUCUGUCUUUUGGGACGAUAAUGACGGUACCAAAGGAGGAAGCCACGGCUAACUACGUGCCAGCCGCCGCCGUAAUAC